UCAACUUUUGGGGGAGGACUACAUGUUGUUCAUGCACUGAUGCAUUUGAUGUUUGUGUAAAGGCUUGUAAAGGCAAAUAUAACUUCUAUUUUUGUUUUCACACACAGGCUGCAAUGGUAACAGAGGAGGAUAUUUUUGAUGAUGUUGGUCCCUCUGAUGUUAGAGUCUUAGUGUGAACCCUACACCUCCCUCCGUUCAAUCUACUCCACUGGAUCUAAGUUGCGUGGCAACUACUGUUGUACCAUGGAACGCAACAAGCCCUGAGCGAAUGCUUGAAUCAGACAACUGAAUUUCCGAAUUUUCCUUAUCGGCACAUACAAUUGUAAUUUUACUACUAGCUGUAUUGAAUGAUCAAUAUUAUUUUGUAGUUAUUUGGUCUGCUGACCAGUGCUUAUUGUUACUACUUAGUAAAACCUACUUGUUUUUAUAAUAAACCUUUUAAACAAGCA